GACGAACGCUGGCGGCGUGCUUAACACAUGCAAGUCGAACGGUGAACGAGGGAGCUUGCUCCCUCCGGAUCAGUGGCGAACGGGUGAGUAAAACGUGAGCAAUCUGCCCCGAACUCUGGGAUAAGCGUUGGAAACGACGUCUAAUACCGGAUACGACGCGGGAGGGCAUCCUCUCCGCGUGGAAAGAACUUCGGUUCGGGAUGAGCUCGCGGCCUAUCAGCUUGUUGGUGUGGUAACGGCUCACCAAGGCGACGACGGGUAGCCGGCCUGAGAGGGUGACCGGCCACACUGGGACUGAGACACGGCCCAGACUCCUACGGGAGGCAGCAGUGGGGAAUAUUGCACAAUGGGCGCAAGCCUGAUGCAGCAACGCCGCGUGAGGGACGACGGCCUUCGGGUUGUAAACCUCUUUUAGCAGGGAAGAAGCGAAAGUGACGGUUCCUGCAGAAAAAGCACCGGCUAACUACGUG
rnacentral:rRNA from 1 species